rnacentral:rRNA from 1 species
CAGCCGUAAACUAUGCGCGUUAGGUGUACUGGUGACCACGAGUCACCGGGGUGCCGAAGGGAAACCGUGAAACGUGCCGCCUGGGAAGUACGGUCGCAAGGCUGAAACUUAGAGGAAUUGGCGGGGGAGCACCACAACGGGUGGAGCCUGCGGUUUAAUUGGAUUCAACGCCGGACAUCUCACCGGAUAAGACAGCUGAAUGAUUGUCAAUCUGAAGGUUUUACAUGACUAGCUGAGAGGAGGUGCAUGGCGUAGACGUCU